rnacentral:misc_RNA from 1 species
AAGUCGUAACAAGGUCUCCGUUGGUGAACCAGCGGAGGGAUCAUUACAGAGUCGUAAAACACUCCCAAACCACUGUGAACUUACCAUUUGUUGCCUCGGCGGUCCCCUGCCGGAUAGCGAGCUACCCUGUAGCGACCUACCCUGUAGCCCGCCGGUGGACAUCUAAACUCUUGUUAUUCUAUGGAUAUCUGAGCGUCUUAUUUAAUAAGUUAAAACUUUCAACAACGGAUCUCUUGGUUCUG